rnacentral:rRNA from 1 species
GCGAAAACUUUACAAUGCUGGCAACAGCGAUAAGGGAACCUCGAGUGCCUGGUUACGAAUCUGGCUGUCGAGAUGCCUAAAAAGCAUUUCAUAGCAAGGGCCGGGCAAGACCGGUGCCAGCCGCCGCGGUAACACCGGCGGCUCGAGUGGUAACCGUUAUUAUUGGGUCUAAAGGGUCUGUAGCCGGCCGGAUAAGUCUCUUGAGAAAUCUGGCAGCUUAACUGUCAGGCUUUCAGGAGAUACUGUCUGGCUCGAGGCCGGGAGAGGUGAGAGGUACUUCAGGGGUAGGGGUGAAAUCUUGUAAUCCUUGAAGGACCACCAGUGGCGAAGGCGUCUCACCAGAACGGACCUGACGGCAAGGGACGAAAGCUAGGGGCACGAACC